rnacentral:lncRNA from 1 species
GCUCUUGUUUCUUUGGUUUCAUAACCAUUGUUCUCCAUGUAGUCCAAGUGUAUCAAAUAACGUCGCACCUAUAUAUAUAUAUAUAUAUAUAUAUUGACGAAGAUUCCUCAACUAAAUACAUUGUUAUAUAUGUUGGAGUUAUGGUAUAAUGGAGGUUGGUCUUACUUGCAAAAACAUAGCGUCGCAUCAAAAUAUUUAUCAAUUGCAAUAUUUUGACAGAUAUAAGUGGAGAUUCUUAGGAUUUGGGAAGCAUGCUUGCUCCACGGAAACUAUUAUGUGGUGGUUUCCUGGGGGGACUCAGGCCAAUCC